GAAAAACGUAUAGACUAUAAAUAUGAUAGAAAUUUUUCACUCGAUAUCACAACAAUUAGACGUUGCUGCAGACUGUGCACGUAUUCGAUUAGCUCAGACUGAGAAUAAUCGAAAAUGUCAAGAAAAAUUUUAUUGUUAGCUAUCUUCAUAUUUGUUGGCCUCUAUGCCAGUGCAGUUGAAGGAUGUCAAGGCAAAUGGUGUCAUCCACAGCAAGGCUACGACUGCUGCAGUAACUAUGAAUGUAAUAUGGGAUACUGGUUUCAAGGGAAUUGCGUAAAAUACUCGCACGUCAAUAUGGGUCCUGGGAAAUAGAACAAGAAAGUAAAUAAAUAAAAUUUGACAAUAUGUCACAUUACCAAAAAAUAAAAAAAAAAUUGUAUCAAUUAUGUGAACAAAUAUGAUUGCAUAAUA